ACUCUCCACCUCAGCAAUGCUCUGAGAGAAAAGCACAACCCUUGGAAAGAAUACUCAUUAUCCUGAGUGAAGCACUAGCAGAUUAGAAGAUAUGCCAUCUGCUCAAAUGUGACCAAAUGACAUUCUGUAGAAAUGGUGCUGGAACAAGGACAGAUAAGUUGAAAAAUGGUAAAGGCGGCAAACUCAACCUGAAGAAGAUGGAAUGUUUUAUGCAAAUCUAUUUUAACAGGCUUAGCUGUUGCCUUCCCAUCUGAUACAAUGUUUCACAGAUGGACUCUGGAGAGAUUAUCAUCAAGCUUGUGGAUGAAUGGAUGAUGGCUAUCACCAUGACAUCUUGGAGAUACUAAGGAUGUAAACCAGUUCAAGGGCAGAAUGUCUCCAGAUUUCAACUGCUCAAGCACAUAUUCUCAGGAAAAGAGCAAAAUAACUGAAAGUUCCUAAUAUUUCAAACUAUUGUGACCUCAGAGUUCAUUCUUCCAUUGUGUAAUAAUGAGACAUUUAAAGUUUUAUUAGUGUUACAAUUAAGAGCUGGUUCUCCC
rnacentral:lncRNA from 1 species